rnacentral:rRNA from 1 species
GAUGAACGCUGGCGGCGUGCUUAACACAUGCAAGUCGGACGGGAAGUGGUGUUUCCAGUGGCGGACGGGUGAGUCACGCGUAAGAAUCUGCCCUUGGGAGGGGGACAACAGCUGGAAACGGCUGCCAAUAACCCGGAGCCAGUGGCGGAAAAGGAGGCCUGCGCCGGAGGGGGGGCUGGCUUCUGAUUCGCUAGGUGGUGGGGCAAUAGCUUACCAAGGCGAUGAGCAGUAGCUGGUCCGAGAGGAUGAUCAGCCACGCUGGGACGGUGAGGCGGCGCCGACUCCUGCGGGAAGCAGCGGUGAGUAAUGCACCGUAGUCGGCGACCGGCUGAAGGAGCGACGCCGGGGGGAUGAAGAAGGCCUGCUGGUCGACAGCUUUUGUUCCUGGAGAAGAGUCAAUGACGGUAACUGGUGAAGAAGCAUCGGCUAACUCUGUG